rnacentral:lncRNA from 10 species
GUGAAAUAAUAAGAAAAGAUCAGGCACAAAGAGAUGGCAGGAUGCUAGAAAUUCUAAAUGGUUUUAAUAAAAUCUGAUGAUCUGUCACAUCAGGUGCUGUGAAUCAAUUGCAGACAGAAAAAAAAGAUAAGCAAAAGGCAAACACAGAGGUUACUGGCAUGGAGCGUCUAACACCAUGGGAACUUUUCAAGUGGUAGAAGCAUCUUUGUUAUUCUUGAGCCUCUUGGGUCACCCCUGAGUUUAUGCAAAUGAGGUGGUUCACCGUGGGCCCCUAGGUAGCUUCAGGAGGGGAGCUGCUCACCAGAAAGGACAACUAUGUGAUUAAAGAGUUGAGAUGUGGAGUCAGCCUGACCCCUGAGGAGGAACAGAGGGCUGGAGAUCAACUUCAGUCAUGUGGCCAAUUAUUUAAUGAAUCAUCUCUAUGUAAUGUAACUCCAGCAAAAACUCUGGAAACCGAAGCUCAGUGGUGCUUUCUGGCUGGUGAAUGCACAGAUGUUCUGGGAGGGUGAUGGGCACUGAUUCCAUGAACACAGGGCAGAGAAACUCUGUACUUGAGACCCCCCUACACUUUAUUCUAUGUGUGUCUUUAUUUAAGUGUUCCCAAGUUAUAUCCUUUAUAAUAAAAUUGUGAUCAUAAAUAUAAUGCCUUCUAAAGUUUCGUGAGCCACUCUAGUGAGUUAGCGGGAUUGUGGAAAUCACCCAGAACUGGAGCCAGCUGAUAUGAAGUGAAGGCAGUCUUGUUGUGGACUCUGCCCUGUAACUUUGGGGUCUCUGCUAACUCCAGGUGGUUAGUGCCAUAAUUGAAUUGCAAUACACCAGUUGAGGUCAAAACAGAAUAAGGGUGAAUAAAGGUAAAAAUUUAUCAUGACUUCCUCACACCUGGCAACAAAGCUAAGACUUUAUGUCAUUAAAAUAUUGCAGGCAAACAUGUGGAGGGCUGCAGAAGAUGACCUUGGUCUUGACUUCCUCCUGAAGAAUGUAUGUGUAUGUGUAAGUGCAUGGUAUGCAUGUGUAUAUGAAAUUGGAAUAUCUUGAAUUACAUAAAGGCAGCCCUCAUUUUAUUGCCCUUCACUUUAUUGUAUUUUGCAGUACUUUUAAAAAAAAAUUGAAGGUUUGUGGCAACCCUGCGU